rnacentral:rRNA from 1 species
GACCUCUUCGGAGGUCAGCGGCGGACGGGUGAGGAACACGUGGGUAAUCUGCCUUUCAGACCGGAAUAACGCCCGGAAACGGGCGCUAAUGCCGGAUACGCCCGCGAGGAGGCAUCUUCUUGCGGGGAAAGGCCCGAUUGGGCCGCUGAGAGAGGAGCCCGCGGCGCAUUAGCUGGUUGGCGGGGUAACGGCCCACCAAGGCGACGAUGCGUAGCCGACCUGAGAGGGUGACCGGCCACACUGGGACUGAGACACGGCCCAG